GUGGGGAAUAUUGGUCAAUGGACGGGAGCCUGAACCAGCCAAGUCGCGUGAAGGAAGAAGGAUCUAUGGUUCGUAAACUUCUUUUGCAGGGGAAUAAAGUGCAGGACGUGUCCUGUUUUGUAUGUACCCUGAGAAUAAGGAUCGGCUAACUCCGUGCCAGCAGCCGCGGUAAUACGGAGGAUCCGAGCGUUAUCCGGAUUUAUUGGGUUUAAAGGGUGCGUAGGUGGUUUGAUAAGUCAGCGGUGAAAGUUUGCAGCUUAACUGUAAAAAUGCCGUUGAAACUGUCGGACUUGAGUGUAAAUGAGGUAGGCGGAAUGCGUGGUGUAGCGGUGAAAUGCAUAGAUAUCACGCAGAACUCCGAUUGCGAAGGCAGCUUACUAAGCUACAACUGACACUGAAGCACGAAAGCGUGGGGAUCAAACAGGAUUAGAAACCCGAGUAGUCC
rnacentral:rRNA from 1 species